GCCAGUGUGGCGCAGAGGUUUGAACAUUGGACUACAACUCUGGAAACCAGGGUUCGAUUCCUGGCUCGGCCA